rnacentral:rRNA from 1 species
GUCUAGUACUCAGAGUUUGAUCCUGGCUCAGAACGAACGCUGGCGGCAGGCUUAACACAUGCAAGUCGAGCGCCUCGCAAGAGGAGCGGCAGACGGGUGAGUAACACGUGGGAAUCUACCCAUCCCUGCGGAACAACUCCGGGAAACUGGAGCUAAUACCGCAUACGCCCUUCGGGGGAAAGAUUUAUCGGGGAUGGAUGAGCCCGCGUUGGAUUAGCUAGUUGGUGGGGUAAAGGCCUACCAAGGCGACGAUCCAUAGCUGGUCUGAGAGGAUGAUCAGCCACAUUGGGACUGAGACACGGCCCAA